rnacentral:rRNA from 1 species
GACAGAGGGUGCAAACGUUGUUCGGAAUUACUGGGCGUAAAGCGCGUGUAGGUGGCGAGGCAAGUCGGGUGUGAAAGCCCUGGGCUCAACCCAGGAAGUGCACUCGAUACUGCCUAGCUAGAGUCCCGGAGAGGUUGGUGGAACUCUCGGUGUAGAGGUGAAAUUCGUAGAUAUCGAGAAGAACACCGGUGGCGAAGGCGGCCAACUGGACGGAGACUGACGCUGAGGUGCGAAAGCGUGGGGAGCAAACAGG